rnacentral:rRNA from 1 species
GACGAACGCUGGCGGCGUGCUUAACACAUGCAAGUCGAACGGACAGGCCAUGCUUUUGCGGGCUGCACGAGUGGCGAACGGGUGCGUAAGGCGUGAGUACCCUGACCUUGCCUGUGGGGUAACUUCAGGAAACUGGGGCUAACACUGGCUAGGAGCUCCUGCUGCUUAGUGUGGGUUGGAAAGUUUCGGCGGUUGGGAAUGGACUCGCGGCUUAUCAGCUUGUUGGUGGGGUAGUGGCUUAGCAAGGCGUUGGCGGAUCGCCGGCCUGAGAGGGUGACCGGCCACAGUGGGACAGAGAUGCGGCCCAGACGCCUACGGGAGGCAGCGGCGGGGGAUAGUGCACGAUGGGCGGAAGCCGUGUGCAGCAACGCCGCGUGGUGGAGGACGGCCUUCGGGUUGUAAACCGUGUGCGCGUGGGACGAACCGUGAGUGACGGUAAUGGGUAAAGAAGCACCGGCUAACUACGUG